rnacentral:misc_RNA from 1 species
GAUUGAAGAACGUAGCGAAAUGCGAUAAGUAAUGUGAAUUGCAGAAUUCAGUGAAUCAUCGAAUCUUUGAACGCACCUUGCGCCCGCCAGUAUUCUGGCGGGCAUGCCUGUUCGAGCGUCAUUUCAACCAUCAAGCCCUGCUUGUGUUGGGGUCCUGCGGCUGCCCGCAGGCCCUGAAAACCAGUGGCGGGCUCGCUAGUCACACCGAGCGCAGUAGCACAUCUCGCUCAGGGCGUGCGGCGGGCUCCAGCCGUUAAAGCACCCACCUUUCGCAAGGUUGACCUCGGAUCAGGUAGGAAUACCCGCUGAACUUAAGCAUAUCAUAAGCGGAGGA